AACGAACGCUGGCGGCAUGCCUAACACAUGCAAGUCGAACGAGACCUUCGGGUCUAGUGGCGCACGGGUGCGUAACGCGUGGGAAGCUGCCCUUAGGUUCGGAAUAACUCCCCGUAAGGGGUGCUAAUACCGGAUAAUGUCCUCGGAUCACAGAUUUAUCGUCUUUGGAUGGGCCCGCGUUGGAUUAGCUAGUUGGUAGGGUAAAAGCCUACCAAGGCGACGAUCCAUAGCUGGUCUGAGAGGAUGAGCAGCCACACUGGGACGGAGACACGGCCCAGACUCCUACGGGAGGCAGCAGUGGGGAAUAUUGGACAAUGGGCGAGAGCCUGAUCCAGCAAUGCCGCGUGAGUGAUGAAGGCCUGAGGGUUGUAAAGCUCUUUUACCCGGGAUUAUAAUGACAGUACCGGGAGAAUAAGCUCCGGCUAACUCCGUG
rnacentral:rRNA from 1 species